rnacentral:rRNA from 1 species
CUGGGUCCCUUGAGGCGGGCUGGACCUCUCGGGGUUACAGCCUUGCUGAAUUAUUCACCCUUGUCUUUUGCGUACUUCUUGUUUCCUUGGUGGGUUCGCCCACCACUAGGACAAACAUAAACCUUUUGUAAUUGCAAUCAGCGUCAGUAACAAAUUAAUAAUUACAACUUUCAACAACGGAUCUCUUGGUUCUGGCAUCGAUGAAGAACGCAGCGAAAUGCGAUAAGUAGUGUGAAUUGCAGAAUUCAGUGAAUCAUCGAAUCUUUGAACGCACAUUGCGCCCUUUGGUAUUCCAAAGGGCAUGCCUGUUCGAGCGUCAUUUGUACCCUCAAGCUUUGCUUGGUGUUGGGCGUCUUGUCUCUAGCUUUGCUGGAGACUCGCCUUAAAGUAAUUGGCAGCCGGCCUACUGGUUUCGGAGCGCAGCACAAGUCGCACUCUCUAUCAGCAAAGGUCUAGCAUCCAUUAAGCCUUUUUUUCAACUUUUGACCUCGGAUCAGGUAGGGAUACCCGCUGAACUUAAGCAUAUCAAUA